AAAAUUAAAUAGCCGCAUUUUGUGCUAAGGUAGCAUAAUCAUUUGUCUUUUCAAUAAAGACUAGAACAAAAGAUUUUACAUUUUAAUUACUUUUUUAAAUAAAAAUAUUCUAAAUUUUCCUAAAUGUAAAAAGACAUUUAUAUUUAAGAAAGACGACAAGACCCUGUAGAACUUAACUUUAGUUAAACUGGGGCAGUUAAUUAAUUAUAAUUUUAUUUCUAAAAAAUUUUUAGAAAAAUCUAAUACAAUUAAUAAAUCAGUUACCAUAGGGAUAACAGCGCAAUUAUUUUUUAAAGUUCUUAUAUAAAAAAUAUAUUACGACCUCGAUGUUGAAUUAAUAACCUAAUUAAAGCAAAUUUUAAAAAAGGAAGUCUGUUCGACUUUUAAAAAAUUACAUGAUUUGAGUUCAGACCGGUAUAAGCCAGGUCGGUUUCUAUCUUCUACAUAAUAUCUUACAGUACGAAAGGACCUAAGAAAAUAAUUACAUUAAUAUAUUGGCAGAUAAAUGCAUUAGAAUUAGAAUCUAAUAAAACUAAU
rnacentral:rRNA from 1 species